rnacentral:misc_RNA from 1 species
UCGGAAGGUGCGGCUGGAUCACCUCCUUUCUAAGGAGAAUUGCCUACUGUUUAAUUUUGAGGGUUCGUUUUUACGAAUACUCAAAAUUAGCACUUUAAGCAACGGGAUUUAUCCGUUGGCGCUGUGCUUUAGCACUUUGAAAACUGCAUAUAUAUUUAGUGAUAUGACAUCUAAUUUGUAAUAUAUAAAGCUGAUAACUUUUUAAAAUUAUCGAAGUUGAUAGCUUCUAAUCUAUCAAACCUUUUUAACU